rnacentral:rRNA from 1 species
GUAGGUGGCAAGCGUUGUCCGGAAUUAUUGGGCGUAAAGCGCGCGCAGGCGGUUCUUUAAGUCUGAUGUGAAAGCCCACGGCUCAACCGUGGAGGGUCAUUGGAAACUGGAGAACUUGAGUACAGAAGAGGAAAGCGGAAUUCCACGUGUAGCGGUGAAAUGCGUAGAGAUGUGGAGGAACACCAGUGGCGAAGGCGGCUUUCUGGUCUGUAACUGACGCUGAGGCGCGAAAGCGUGGGGAGCAAACAGGAUUAGAUACCCUGGUAGUCCACGCCGUAAACGAUGAGUGCUAAGUGUUAGGGGGGUUUCCGCCCCCCUUAGUGCUGCAGCUAACGCAUUAAGCACUCCGCCUGGGAGUACGGUCGCAAGGCUG